rnacentral:rRNA from 1 species
UGAACGCUGGCGGAAUGCUUUACACAUGCAAGUCGAACGGUAGAGGGGGCAACCCCUUGAGAGUGGCGAACGGGUGAGUAAUAUAUCGGAACGUGCCCAGUCGUGGGGGAUAACGUAGCGAAAGUUACGCUAAUACCGCAUACGAUCUAAGGAUGAAAGCGGGGGAUCGCAAGACCUCGCGCGACUGGAGCGGCCGAUAUCAGAUUAGGUAGUUGGUAGGGUAAAGGCCUACCAAGCCAACGAUCUGUAGCUGGUCUGAGAGGACGACCAGCCACACUGGAACUGAGACACGGUCCAGACUCCUACGGGAGGCAGCAGUGGGGAAUUUUGGACAAUGGGCGAAAGCCUGAUCCAGCCAUUCCGCGUGCAGGAUGAAGGCCCUCGGGUUGUAAACUGCUUUUGUACAGAACGAAAAGGUUUCUAUUAAUACUAGGAGCUCAUGACGGUACUGUAAGAAUAAGCACCGGCUAACUACGUGCCAGCAGCCGCGGUAAUC